AGCAGCCGCGGUAAUUCCAGCUCCAAUAGCGUAUAUUAAAGUUGUUGCAGUUAAAAAGCUCGUAGUUGAAUUUCGAGACCGGUUUACUGGUCGUGCUUUUGUACGUACUGGUAUUAUUGGUUUCUCCUUUCUGACGAAUCUUAAUGCCAUUAAUUUGGUGUUUUGGGGAAUCAGGACUGUUACUUUGAAAAAUUAGAGUGUUUAAAGCAGGCUCACGCUUGAAUACAUUAGCAUGGAAUAACGAAAUAGGACGUUUGAUUUUAUUUUGUUGGUUUCUAGGAUCGACGUAAUGAUUAAUAGGGAUAGUUGGGGGCAUUAGUAUUCAAUUGUCAGAGGUGAAAUUCUUGGAUUUAUUGAAGACUAACUACUGCGAAAGCAUUUGCCAAGGAUGUUUUCAUUAAUCAAGAACGAAAGUUAGGGGAUCGAAGACGAUCAGAUACCGUCGUAGUCU
rnacentral:rRNA from 1 species